GUUGUUUACCAGGAGUUACAGCGGAAGUAGGCGCCAUCUUGUUAUGGCGAAUGCCUCUCCCGCUCUGCCGCUCUCCACAGGACAUGACAGGCCUGACAUCUGGUGGCUGCUAUCACAAGAACGCUCUGAAUCCAUAAAGAACACACAUGUCUGACAAGCCAUUCACUGAAGCUCCAUUCACUGUCUGGCUUUCAUCAGGGUCUCUCCUUGGCACUGAGUUCAGAAAGAGCACAAAGGAUUCCAGGACUCUGGGCUGGUCUGAAGGCAGACUCAGGUGGCCAUGACAAGCUACAUCGAGGAGAACCCAGGAGGCCUGGAUUCUCAAACUAUCCCUACUCCCAAGAAGCCAGACUCAGCUUCCUUACCUGCUGAACACAGAUGAUCCCACCUCCCCAGCCCCUGCCUCCCCGAUUGGACAAGUCGCAGUGUGAAAGUGCUUGAUCACCUGCUCUCAAGUUAUUCAAGCAUGAUGCAGUGUUUUGCAAGGACCACACUUUAGUCUUUCUCAUAGAAAGCAGUUGAGAGAUGAAGAGCUUUGAAAACUGUGGGGUAGCAUGGGUAAGCACUCCAGACACUCCACAAGAUAGAUGUGUAAUGAAUACAUAUAUAACAA